rnacentral:rRNA from 1 species
UACGAACCGUCCAAACGUUAUUCGGAUUUAUUGGGCUUAAAGGGUAUGUAGGCGGCCCUUCAAGUCGGGGGUGAAAGCCCAGGGCUCAACCCUGGAAUUGCCUUCGAUACUGGAGAUCUUGAGACCGGAAGAGGUAAGUGGAACUGCGAGUGUAGAGGUGAAAUUCGUAGAUAUUCGCAAGAACACCAGUGGCGAAGGCGGCUUACUGGUCCGGUUCUGACGCUGAGGCGCGAAAGCGUGGGAGCAAACAGG